CUUCCGCACACCGAGCCCACGCUCACAAAGGCGAGAAAACGGCGCUCGGAGCUCCUGCUCUCCUUUGCCCCCCGGGUGCCUUUUUGUCUUCCACGUCGCUGUGCGUCUCUCUCUCUCUCUCUCUCUCUCUCUCUCUCUCUCUCUCUCUGUGUGUGUGUAUGUGGCUCUGCUCUGGUGCGCUCCCACCGACUGCCUGUUCCCUCUCUGGUCCUCUUCUCACUCCCUCUGCUUUAUUCACAACCUGUGCUGCAGGGGAGGGGCCUUUAGAGCGAGGUGCUGGGAGGCGGGGCCUAAAGGGACCGGGGGGGCAGGAGGGGGUGGAGCAAAGGACAAGUUGUACUAUGCGCAUGCAUGUGUACGCACCUAGUGUGCGCGCGUGUUAAGCUGAUGUUGACUGCGACCAGAAAAAAAACAGAUAAUCUUCUUGCGCCACUUGGGCCACUUCUGGCCCCUCUUUGGAAGUGAUGUUUUUUUUUAUACGUGAUAAAAACAGGGCAUCUAAUGGGACAAAAUUCUGCAGGAUUUUGUGCCAAAAAUUCCUUUCAAACCUGGGGACAACUGAGACAACUAACACCCGGCGGUGACUCCUGUGUUUUUACCGUUUUUUACCGCUUUAAAGGGCCAAGAAGCUUUUCUUCCGAUGAGGGCCGCGCUCACCAUCAUGUGUGCCUCUACACGCCUCUCGCUCUCUGGCGCCGUCCAUCGGCGCCGUGGAGGUGGAGGCGCUCCGGCGCUCUAAAUAGCGCAGCAUCCAGCAUCCGCUGGCGCUGAACGCACUGUGUAACUCGGGAGGCACGUGACACACCCACGAGGUCCUGCGUACGAAGACCCGUGUGCGUGUUUACAGCACGUGUAACACGGAACCCCGAUACACCUUAGCUGCACCAGUACCUUGUUUCACUUGUACGCUUUAUUACAGUUUUUUUGUGAUGGCACAUUUCCGAGGGAAGGCGAUGCCCCUGUUUUGCCCUCUGCUGCCCCAGGCUUUGCGUAACCAUGGCGACUGCGCGGGAAGUGCCGUCUGGCCGCACUGCAGUUACUGUACACGCUGCUCAACGGGCACGUGAUGCUGAUUUUGGCGGUGAGUCUGACACACUCCGUGUGUGUUGUUCUGUAUAUUGGCAGAGGAGACAGAAGAGCAUCGAGUUCAUGUCGCACGUUCACGGCAGGAACCAACCUGACUGUCGCAAAACGGAGCAAAGCAACGGAAUGCCGCGCCACAGGCCACUUUCCAAGGACGUUUGGGCGAUUGACCGUUUAUUUGCAUUUCCCUGUGUAAAGAUACUGUAA
rnacentral:lncRNA from 1 species